ensembl:lncRNA
UAUACGAGUCGCCAGCAGAUGGAGCUAAUGGACCGUAGAAUAUGUUGAACAACUUGAUGUUGCACCCUGCGUGAAACCAGCCAGUCGCACUAAUUUAGGACUUGACGAAAGUUAAACUCGCUGGUUUAAUGUGGUUCAUUCGUUUUUGGAUGAUGCAAAACAUCGAACAAGACACGUGUGACUCAAGAUUGCAAUGACUGUACUUCGGUGGUGGCUGGUGUCGACCGAGGCAGCGGGUCAAGAUAUCCUGGUCAUCCCCCCGUCCCUCAGACAGAGGCCGAUCCAUGACAUCACACAUCCUUCCCUCUGGCGGCACCGGGGCCCUGCCCUUGUUAAGUGGCCCCGGCUACCAGCUCCUCAUUUACAGGUGAAAU